CGAAGGUUUCGGCCUUAGUGGCGGACGGGUGAGUAACGCGUAGGAAUCUAUCCACGGGUGGGGGAUAACUUCGGGAAACUGAAGCUAAUACCGCAUGAUACCUGAGGGUCAAAGGCGCAAGUCGCCUGUGGAGGAGCCUGCGUUUUGAUUAGCUUGUUGGUGGGGUAAUGGCCUACCAAGGCGAUGAUCGAUAGCUGGUUUGAGAGGAUGAUCAGCCACACUGGGACUGAGACACGGCCCAG
rnacentral:rRNA from 1 species